ensembl:lncRNA
GGCUGGCAGCUGAAGGAGAAGUAUCUUUACUUGGAGAUUGCCUACUUUGGGAGUUUACUAGUGAGCCUGGUAUUCUCUGAACAGGGAGGAAACCCAAGGCACAGAGGAGGAGGUGAGAUACUGAGAACUGCUCCAGCAAACCAGGAAAAGAGGUCCACCAGGCAUUCCACGUGCCAGCCUGGGCUCCCUCCCUACUGUAUGGCAGCAUCACUCACAGAAAUGAUAAGGCUAAAGGAGCAAGAGGAAAGGUUGUCCAGCACCGAGCAGCUAACGGCCCUUUGUGGACUCAGACCAUCAAAGAGAAGACUACAGAAUGGGGACAGGCAUUCUUUCCAUUCCUGUCUGUCAGUGAAUAUGAGGAAAUGAGAGCAUGGGCCAGACCUCACUCCAGACGCAGAAAUGGGUGUACAUUGCUAUUCAGGCUUGAAUCGAGGUACCUUUGGUCCAGCAGCCUGCCUCCUACCACAAGCACUUCUGGAGGCUAUACAAGAACUCUGCUACAUGUAAAUAUAAGAAAAAAAAGAAUGAGAAAGGUCAUCAGAGCUUCCUAAGCCUGAUCAGAUAUCAGAAUGGUCCUGCUGAGUUUUGCAUCCUGACACUUUGAAUUAUGGCAAAAGAAUUUUUAGCAACAUGCUCUUCUUUUUCCAUCUUUUUAUAUUCAUUUAUCACAGCUAGUGAUUGUUCCUGGCUUCUUUUGAUCAUAGCCA